rnacentral:rRNA from 1 species
UACAGAGGUCUCAAGCGUUGUUCGGAUUCAUUGGGCGUAAAGGGUGUGUAGGUGGCGCCGUAAGUCGGGUGUGAAAUUUCGGAGCUUAACUCCGAAACUGCAUUCGAUACUGCGGUGCUUGAGGACUGGAGAGGAGACUGGGAAUUCAUGGUGUAGCAGUGAAAUGCGUAGAGAUCAAUGAGGAAGACCAGUGGCGAAGGCGG